AACGAACGCUGGCGGCAUGCCUAACACAUGCCAGUCGAACGAGACCUUCGGGUCUAGUGGCGCAAGGGUGCGUAACGCGUGGGAACCUGCCCUUAGGUUCGGAAUAACUCCCCGAAAGGGGUGCUAAUACCGGAUAAUGUCUUCGGACCAAAGAUUUAUCGCCUUUGGAUGGGCCCGCGUUGGAUUAGCUAGUUGGUAGGGUAAAAGCCUACCAAGGCGACGAUCCAUAGCUGGUCUGAGAGGAUGAUCAGCCACACUGGGACUGAGACACGGCCCAGACUCCUACGGGAGGGAGCAGUGGGGAAUAUUGGACAAUGGGCGAAAGCCUGAUCCAGCAAUGCCGCGUGAGUGAUGAAGGCCUUAGGGUUGUAAAGCUCUUUUACCCGGGAUGAUAAUGACAGUACCGGGAGAAUAAGCUCCGGCUAACUCCGUG
rnacentral:rRNA from 1 species